GAUGAUCGCUGCCGUUCGCGCCGUAAGGCGGCGGACGGGGGAGGAAAGUCCGAACUCCGCAGGGCAGUGUGCCGGAUAACGUCCGGGACGGAUGGUUCAAGCCAUCUGGACGGCUAGUGCAACAGAAAACAAACCGCCCCGGCUGUAAGGCUUGGGUAAGGGUGAAAAGGUGCGGUAAGAGCGCACCGCGCAUUGUGUAAACAAUGCGGCAGGGUAAACCCCACACGGAGCAAGACCAAAUAGGCAGGGAUCUCGCUGCUCCUCUCCAGGCGGCGAUGAGCGUAUCGGCCCGAUGCGCAAAGGCGGAGAGACUCGAAAGGGAGCCGAAACCUGCGGGUAGGUUGCUGGAGCGGUGCAGUAAUGCGCCGCCUAGAGGAAUGAUCGUCUAA
rnacentral:RNase_P_RNA from 1 species